UGGGGAAUGGUGCAACGGCAGCACACCGCGCUCUGGACGCGGCGAUUCAGGUUCGAAUCCUGGUUCCUCAG
rnacentral:tRNA from 1 species